rnacentral:misc_RNA from 1 species
AAAAAAAAAAAAAAAAAACCUACUUUGCAACAAUAAGGAGAGAGGGUUUCGAUAAUAGAUCAAAAAAAAGUGCUAUUAGUAUGCUAUGGAAAAGUACUAUAUAGUACAUUGGAAGAGACCAUAUAAUACGCAAGAUUCACAACAGUUCAAAUUAAUCAAAAUGUUACCAGCAGAUACAACACAGAUCAUACAAAAAUGUAGCAGCCAUAUACACAUGAAGUUACUAAUGACCCUUAAUUCAAAACAAAGAAAGUUCACUAAAAGAAAUCAUGAAACAUAUCAACUGGAAACCUGAAAUUUAUUUAAUAGACCAUAUUUGAACUUGCACUAGAAUAAGGGGAAUAGCACAAAAGGAUGUGUUUGACAACCAUUUAGGCCAUACCUAGACAGGAGUUUUCAGCAUGAUCACGCGUGAGACUUGAAUUAAAAGAAAAAAAAAAAGGUAAAAU